rnacentral:rRNA from 1 species
UAAUGGGUCAGCGACUUAUAUUCUGUAGCAAGGUUAACCGAAUAGGGGAGCCGAAGGGAAACCGAGUCUUAACUGGGCGUUAAGUUGCAGGGUAUAGACCCGAAACCCGGUGAUCUAGCCAUGGGCAGGUUGAAGGUUGGGUAACACUAACUGGAGGACCGAACCGACUAAUGUUGAAAAAUUAGCGGAUGACUUGUGGCUGGGGGUGAAAGGCCAAUCAAACCGGGAGAUAGCUGGUUCUCCCCGAAAGCUAUUUAGGUAGCGCCUCGUGAAUUCAUCUCCGGGGGUAGAGCACUGUUUCGGCAAGGGGGUCAUCCCGACUUACCAACCCGAUGCAAACUGCGAAUACCGGAGAAUGUUAUCACGGGAGACACACGGCGGGUGCUAACGUCCGUCGUGAAGAGGGAAACAACCCAGACCGCCAGCUAAGGUCCCAAAGUCAUGGUUAAGUGGGAAACGAUGUGGGAAGGCCCAGACAGCCAGGAUGUUGGCUUAGAAGCAGCCAUCAUUUAAAGAAAGCGUAAUAGCUCACUGGUCGAGUCGGCCUGCGCGGAAGAUGUAACGGGGCUAAACCAUGCACCGAAGCUGCGGCAGCGACACUAUGUGUUGUUGGGUAGGGGAGCGUUCUGUAAGCCUGUGAAGGUGGCCUGUGAGGGUUGCUGGAGGUAUCAGAAGUGCGAAUGCUGACAUAAGUAACGAUAAAGCGGGUGAAAAGCCCGCUCGCCGGAAGACCAAGGGUUCCUGUCCAACGUUAAUCGGGGCAGGGUGAGUCGACCCCUAAGGCGAGGCCGAAAGGCGUAGUCGAUGGGAAACAGGUUAAUAUUCCUGUACUUGGUGUUACUGCGAAGGGGGGACGGAGAAGGCUAUGUUGGCCGGGCGACGGUUGUCCCGGUUUAAGCGUGUAGGCUGGUUUUCCAGGCAAAUCCGGAAAACCAAGGCUGAGGCGUGAUGACGAGGCACUACGGUGCUGAAGCGACAAAUGCCCUGCUUCCAGGAAAAGCCUCUAAGCAUCAGGUAACAUCAAAUCGUACCCCAAACCGACACAGGUGGUCAGGUAGAGAAUACCAAGGCGCUUGAGAGAACUCGGGUGAAGGAACUAGGCAAAAUGGUGCCGUAACUUCGGGAGAAGGCACGCUGAUAUGUAGGUGAAGCGACUUGCUCGUGGAGCUGAAAUCAGUCGAAGAUACCAGCUGGCUGCAACUGUUUAUUAAAAACACAGCACUGUGCAAACACGAAAGUGGACGUAUACGGUGUGACGCCUGCCCGGUGCCGGAAGGUUAAUUGAUGGGGUUAGCGGUAACGCGAAGCUCUUGAUCGAAGCCCCGGUAAACGGCGGCCGUAACUAUAACGGUCCUAAGGU